UGGUCUGUAACUGACGCUGAGGAGCGAAAGCGUGGGGAGCGAACAGGAUUAGAUACCCUGGUAGUCCACGCCGUAAACGAUGAGUGCUAAGUGUUAGGGGGUUUCCGCCCCUUAGUGCUGCAGCUAACGCAUUAAGCACUCCGCCUGGGGAGUACGGUCGCAAGACUGAAACUCAAAGGAAUUGACGGGGGCCCGCACAAGCGGUGGAGCAUGUGGUUUAAUUCGAAGCAACGCGAAGAACCUUACCAGGUCUUGACAUCCUCUGACAAUCCUAGAGAUAGGACGUCCCCUUCGGGGGCAGAGUGACAGGUGGUGCAUGGUUGUCGUCAGCUCGUGUCGUGAGAUGUUGGGUUAAGUCCCGCAACGAGCGCAACCCUUGAUCUUAGUUGCCAGCAUUCAGUUGGGCACUCUAAGGUGACUGCCGGUGACAAACCGGAGGAAGGUGGGGAUGACGUCAAAUCAUCAUGCCCCUUAUGACCUGGGCUACACACGUGCUACAA
rnacentral:rRNA from 1 species